rnacentral:rRNA from 1 species
GACGAACGCUGGCGGCGUGCUUAACACAUGCAAGUGGAGCGACGAACCGGGCUUCGGCCCGGGGCAAAGCCGCGAACGGGUGAGUAUCACGUGGGUAACCUGCCCCGAUGACCGGGACAACCCGAGGAAACUCGGGCUAAUACCGGAUGUGCUCCUCGCACACCAGUGUGAGGAGGAAAGGAAGCUUCGGCCUCCGCAUCGGGAUGGGCCCGCGGCCCAUUAGCUUGUUGGUGGGGUAAAGGCUCACCAAGGCGACGAUGGGUAGCUGGUCUGAGAGGACGAUCAGCCACACUGGGACUGAGACACGGCCCAGACUCCUACGGGAGGCAGCAGUGGGGAAUCUUGCGCAAUGUGCGAAAGCCUGACCCAGCAACGCCGCGUGAAGGAUGAAAUCCCUCGGGAUGUAAACUUCGCAAGAAUGGGAAGAAUAGACGAGCGCUAACACCGUUCGUGAUGACGGUACCAUUUGUAAGCUCCGGCUAACUCCGUGCCAGCCGCCGCCGUAAAAC